UUAAAAUUAGAAGAACAGGUUUAAUAAAUUAAGUUUGACCGCACGGGAUUAUAGACUCAUUUUUCUUUUGGCGAACCAAACCCAAACCUCCGCCGGUGCACACUGCACACAGAACUAAAAACAGAAAGAAAGUAAAACCAACCAUAUGAGUUUUAUUUCUCUCCCUACCACCCCAGAGGAAGGAGUAUAUAAAUAUAAAAAGCAUUAUUAUUUUUAUUAUUAUUAUUUAUUGAAAACUACUGAACCCGUUUUUCAUUCUUCUUAGACUGAUGCAACCGCCAUCGGGCCAUAGCAGCGGCGGCGGUGGAGGAGUAAGUCGAGGUGGACUCACUCGGUUUCGCUCUACUCCGGCGAACUGGUUGGAGGCGCUGCUGGAGGACGAAGAAGAGGACCAAUUAUUAAAGCCUACUCAAUGUUUGACACAACUCCUCACUGAACACUCUUCUCCAGCCACCGCAACAGGCUCUGUUCCCUUUGGUCAUUCUGAACAUCCGUGCUCCUUUGCCGAUGAAGCUUCCGGGUUUCUAAGGCAGAACAGUUCACCCGCGGAUUUUCUCGGGACUUCUGGUCAUGCUUCCGAUGGAUUCUUCUCGAAUUUCGAGAUUCCGGCGAGUUUCGACCUGUCGUCGUCGGCGAACUUGAAUGUCGCCUCUCCAACUGGCAGUGGAAAGAAGGCUAGGGAGGUCGAAACUGUACGGACCUUCUCCGGGAACACGUUGUCGUCUCCUAUUAAAAUGGAGCAAGGUGGCCGUGUUUCUGGUUUGCUUGAUACGGAGAUGGAAAAGCUCUUGGAGGAUUCAGUUCCUUUACGGGUUAGGGCUAAGCGUGGUUGCGCCACUCAUCCUCGGAGCAUUGCUGAAAGGGUUCGGAGGACUCGCAUCAGUGACCGUAUCCGAAAACUUCAGGAGCUUGUGCCGAAUAUGGAUAAGCAAACAAAUACUGCUGACAUGUUAGAAGAAGCAGUGGAGUAUGUGAAAUGCCUCCAAAAGAAAAUUCAGGAACUCUCUGAACAUCAACUGAGAUGCAAAUGCAAAAACAAAGAAUAACCAGCAGAAGGUAUUUUGUAGUUCCUAUUCGCAUCAAUCGCCAAUUGUCUUUGAUGGAUGAGAUUCAUUGAGCAAUUGAGACGGUUAUUUAUGCCUGGAAAAUCUUUUGUUAUCUUGUUGCAUGUGCCUGAUCGCAUUCAUGAUGAGCCAUAAAGUGCGGCUGCGGCCUGUGAAGCCUUGCUUCCUGAAUGAGAAAAUUAGCAAGAAACACUCGAGUGGAGCAUAGAAUCACCUAAGAAAAUUGACAGCGGCUGCACACAUUAAACACUCCACCGCAUUUUGAUGAUCAUAUUCAUAGAUCGCACAGAAUCGUCAACGUUUUCCUUUCGAUGAGGGGUUAAGGCAAAUUACUCAAUAUUAAUCAUCCAAUUACUAAAACCUAUCAUGGAUUAAGGCUUGAUUAGUAGCAUUGUGGGACGUUUGGUAUGAGAUUUAAAAUCGAUAUAUGGAAAUGAAAAUGUAAAAUUUAAAUUAAAUUUUAAUGACCAAAGGUUUGUGUUUAAAAGUGGGUCUUACUUUUUAAAUUAAAAAUGAGGAUUUUUCAUAAAUAUAGGAAUAUGUCAACAACCACACCUGCUCAUUGGAUGUCAUAAUGGAAGAUCAUAGUCAAGCAACAUACAAUACUAUUGCUCAAAUAGUAAAGAAGAAAUAUGACUCAAUAAACAGGAAACAUGCACUGAAUGACAUCAUGAAGGGCUUGCUACAUGAGUUUGGGAUUUCGAUGGGAUAUCAAAAGGCUUGGAGAAUAAGAGAAAAGGCUCUAGAAUUGUCAAGAGGAAAGCCAGAAGACUCAUACUAGCAACUACCAAUGUACCUUCAUAUGCUAAAAAAAAGCAAAUCUAGGGACAAUAACUGAAUUGAUUACAGACAAAAAGAACCAAUUCAAGUACAUGUUCUUAGCAUUGUCAAAUUCAAUUAGAGGAUGGAUUCAUUGCAGACCAGUGAUUGUGGUAAAUGGCACAUUCUUGAAAAUAUCAUAUGGAGGGACGUUGUUUACAACAUCAACAAUGGAUGCUAAUAACCAUAUAUUCAUAAUGGCAUUUGGAAUAGGAGACUCAAAGAAUGAUUCAUCAUGGGAGUGGUUUUUCAACAAGCAAAGAGAAACAUUCAGAGAAAGAGAAGGCACGACAAUCAUCUCAGACUAGCACAAAAGUAUAGAGAAAGCAGUAGCAACAGUCUACCCAAACAUAUUCUAUGGAGCAUGCAUAUUCCACUUGCUUAACAACAUUAAGGUCAAUUUUGGAGUACAUAGGGAAGAUCUUACAAUAAACUUUGUUAAAGCCGCUAAAACAUACAACAUAAAAUCAUUUGAAGGAUACAUGUAAGAACUUGACAAAAUAGACAAAAGAAUCAGACCUCAUCUUCAAAGAAUAGGAUAUAAAUAUUGGAGUAGAUGCCACUGCCCGACCAAAAGGUACACAAUGAUGACAUCUAACAUAGCUGAGUCGAUAAAUUCAGCAAUUCUUGCUACAAGAACACUGCCCAUCACUAUAAUGAUGGAGAGUCUUCGAAGUUUGGUACAAAAAUAGGUUUGGACAAACGACAAUGAAGCACAUGAAACAUUCACAAAAGUUUCAACAGUGACAGAAAAAGUACUCAGAGACAACUUUAUUCAAGCAAGAAAAUAUGAGGUUACACCAGUCACAACAAUACUCCACCAAGUGAAUGUGCUAGAAAAAGGAAAAUUCCUUGUCAAUUUACUGGACAAAACAUGUGAAUGUAAUCAGUUCCAACAAGAUGAAAUUCCAUGUGCUCAUGCAAUAAUUGUAUUCUUGAAACGAGGAUUGCAAGUUUAUGACUAUGUUGCAAGUUUAUGACUAUGUUGCCAGUCAACUGUAUCAAAAGCUUUCGUCAUAUCAAGCUUUAGAGUUGCCCACCCUCUCUUGCAAACUCUUCGAUUGUUAAUGGCAUGAAUAAGCUCAUUAGCCAAAAAGAUAUUAUCAAAAAUAACUCUCCUAAAAAUAAAAGCACUCUGAAAAGGAGAAUUGAUCUUGGGAAGGAUCAACUUAAGCCUAUUAGCUAAGACUUUAGAAAUGACGUUAUAGAAAGUAGUUUUACCAGCAUCUGUAAAUCCUGUUGCACCUUUCCCUAUUGUCAAUGCUGAAGUACUUUCUGAACAAGUGGAUAAGUAUGAAUUUAAAUUGAUUCUUUUCUAUUUUAUUUUUGUUAUUUUCAUAUUAUUUUAACAUCUCUUACAUUGCUGCUUUG